rnacentral:lncRNA from 10 species
CAUGUGCUGCCGGAUGAGGGUGUGCGGGGCCACCGUCCCAUACUUGUCCACCUCGGGCAUGUUCAUGUCGUCGAUGAAGUAGACGAGCUUCUUAGUGCCUGGCGGCCCGUAGUUCCUCCCCGAUUUCUUCUCCAGCGGCUUCUCCAGCACCCCUAGAGAGGGCAGAGGGUCAGCUGCCCGCCUGCGCCUCCUGAGCCAGAGCCUGUUAGCCCUACCCUCCAGCACUCCAAGGCAGGACUCGCCUCACUUCUGGCGCCUCCUGCUGCCUCCUCCAUACCUCAUUGCCAUCUGGCUCUGCCCUCAACACGCCCUGAAGCUGUUCUCCCUGAGUGAUGGAGAUGCGCCUAGCUCCCAAAUGCAAUGGGAACUCUUCUGUCCUUGGCUUGACUCUGGGUGCCAUCCUACUGAGGAAAUCCCUUACUCUGUCAAUCACCAGCCACGUGUCCAAGCCCGAAAAUAUGCCUCUGGAAUCAAUAUCAAGUCUUCCAUUUCUCCAGAUUUCAGAUAUUUCUU